UAGGGAAUCUUCGGCAAUGGGGGCAACCCUGACCGAGCAACGCCGCGUGAGUGAAGAAGGUUUUCGGAUCGUAAAGCUCUGUUGUAAGAGAAGAACGUGUGUGAGAGUGGAAAGUUCACACAGUGACGGUAACUUACCAGAAAGGGACGGCUAACUACGUGCCAGCAGCCGCGGUAAUACGUGGGUCCCGAGCGUUGUCCGGAUUUAUUGGGCGUAAAGCGAGCGCAGGCGGUUUAAUGAGUCUGAAGUUAAAGGCAGUGGCUUAACCAUUGUCCGAUUUGAAAACUGUUUAACUUGGAUGGAGAAGGGGAGAGGGGAAUUCCAUGUGUGGCGGUGAAAUGCGUAGAUAUAUGGAGGAACACCGAUGGCGAAAACGGCUCUCUGGUCUGUAACUGACGCUGAGGCUCGAAAGCGUGGGGAGCAAACAGG
rnacentral:rRNA from 1 species